UAGGGAAUCUUCGGCAAUGGACGAAAGUCUGCCCGAGCAACGCCGCGUGAGUGAAGAAGGUUGUCGGAUCGUAAAACUCUUUUGUUAGAGAAGAACAAGGACGUUAGUAACUGAACGUCCCCUGACGGUAUCUAACCAGAAAGCCACGGCUAACUACGUGCCAGCAGCCGCGGUAAUACGUAGGUGGCAAGCGUUGUCCGGAUUUAUUGGGCGUAAAGCGAGCGCAGGCGGUUACUUAAGUCUGAUGUGAAAGCCCCCGGCUCAACCGGGGAGGGUCAUUGGAAACUGGGCGGCUUGAGUGCAGAAGAGGAGGGUGGAAUUCCAUGUGUGGCGGUGAAAUGCGUAGAUAUAUGGAGGAACACCAGUGGCGAAGGCGGCUCGCUGGUCUGUAACUGACGCUGAGGCUCGAAAGCGUGGGGAGCAAACAGG
rnacentral:rRNA from 1 species